AAAUAUGAUAUUGGAUCUAGGGCAUAUCUACUAUAUUCCCAACAACAUGUUCACGUAAAUUGGAACAGGGGAGUAAUGUAUAGUGUGAACUAAUUUGCUGCUAUUGGUGUGUCCGACACCCACUUGUCUGCUUUUCAGUGAGCUUGGCUGUUGUUUACCUUUUAGUCUUCUUAUAAUUUCUCAUUACUUUUUGUUUCCUCCAUUAAAUAAAAGUUCUCUUAAAGUAGUCAAAUUGGGACCCUUUUGAACAGAUCAAGCCAGCUUAGACAUCUCAAACUUGUCGGGUGCUAUUAUAUCUUAGAUGGAUGUUUGGCUGCAGCUGCUAAGAACUUCCCUCUGUUGGAGGAGUUGCAGAUAUACUUUUCCGGCAUUAAUAAAGAUCUUAUAAAAGUUAUUGGUCAUGCUUGCCCCCGGCUUAAGUCAUUUACAUUGAAUGCCCAUGGAUUUCAAGGAUAUGAAUGAAAUGAUGAAGCUCUAGCUGUUGCCAGAAAUAUGCCUGAACUGCGGCACCUUUCCCUUCUUGGAAAUGUCUUGACAAAUGAAGGCCUGCAUGCCAUUCUUGAUGGCUGUCCACACCUUGAAUCGCUCGACUUACGCCACUGUUACAAUAUAGAUCUUGAAGGGGAUUUAGGAAGAAGAUGUAAAGAACAGAUUGUUGAUCUAAAGGACCCUCAUGAUUCCACUUACGGUUAUGAAUUCAAUGCUGAGAUUUAUGAUUAUUUGUCUCCUGAUUCAGACUGCCCAUGUGGAAUUACUGAAUCUUCGUCUUCUGAUGGUGAGUUCCAUCGGGUCUAUGACGAUUUUAAUGACUACUACGACUAAAUCCAUUUAGCAGCAAGUAUCUUGGCGAAAUGUUGUCCCUUAUGAAGGUCAUAUUCAAACCAGAAAUUACUGAUGUUUUUUGGUUGCUUUUGGGUGAUAUGGCAUUUUUUUGCAACGGUGACAGGUGAAGUGUUUAGAUUUGUUCAUAGUUUGCAGCUGAUUGUAAUUAGAAUGACCAAAGCAAUCCUCUUCCUUUUGCAUUUGAGGUGACGUCUACGACCUCUAGACAAUCUUUUGUGGUUUUGCCCUUCUUUUGUUCAUACCUCAAAGGGUCUUGGAACGCCCUAAGCUAUGUAUCUUGUAUCUACUUUUCUUGAGCUUGUGUAUAAAAGCUACUUCUGUUGUGCUUGUUCAGAGUAAUAUCUUCUUCUUUUCUUAAUGUCUUUUGAGAUAGUGGUAAGCUUGGCUGCUGGUUCAGUGUGACUCAAAUUAACCUAAUUAUGCUUUUCAACUUCCAAUCAAAUUAUUGGCAUUACUUGUUUCUUCGUAAUCAUGGUUGAAUCUGACUUAUAUCUUUUAGUGAACUUCUUUGUAAAAGUUUGAUGAUAAUUUGUUGGUUGAUACCUCAUAUUUACAGUUAGUCUCUUCCGUUGCAUUUGGUUCUGUUAGAUGUCUAAAAACGGCAUAUCGUUUGUCAAGUGGAACUUCUCCUUGAAUGGAUGGCCGAAAACAAAGAACAUAUUGAGAACAAGCAAAAAGAAAUCCGCUUGGGUGUACAAUUUCCAGGUCUUCUCUUUGAACCUCUGGACUUUUUUUUUAUUUCUGAAGAGAGCAUGAGGUGAGGCUUUAAGAUCUUGAAAACAAAAAAUUGAUUUUAAGUAAAUCUUGAAUUUUGCAGGAUUUUUACUUCGAAGUUAAAGGACUUCUAAGACUUCUUCUCUUUCUAAAUUGUUGUUGUGUGAUAGACCUCUGAAAUAUAUUGUUUUCCAAAAUAGACCUCUGGAAUAGAAUGACCGACAUUUUUACUCUGGUUAUUCUUCUAUAUUCGAUAUUGAAAUCUGUAUAUUUUAAAAUGAAGAAAGAUUACUCGAGCUUAUUUGAGAUAUUCUUCUCCUUCCUUUUCUUUCUUCAAGUUUUUCCUUUUAAAUGUUGUAGUAUUAACUUCGUUCAGUAAAGUUUCACUAGCUUGAGAAAAUUCUUUUCCAGUAGGUUCCAGUACAUAAGAGUUCCAGUAACUUGGUUGUGCAUUACUUAGCGAAUGGUGUAUAACACAACAACAAUAACAACCACCCAGUAGAAUCCCACUAGUGGGGUUUGGGGAGGAUAGAGUGUACGCAGACCUUACCCCUAUCCCGGAGGGAUAGAGAGGCUGUUUUCGGGAGACCAUCGGGUCAAAUAUUGGUGUAUAACACCACACAUGAAAUACAUGAAUUGUCUUUCUUUCCUUUUUUUUUUGGUGUAAACUUUAAUAUCAUGUCCAACUCCAAGUUAGGGAUAAUGCAUAAAAAUCUCCCUAAAAUUGAUUUGGUGUGCAACUUGCACGCCUAAACUAUGAUGUGUUUGUAUCACCUUUCUGAAUUUCUCUUUUUGGCAUCUAUAUUACCUUGCGCCGAAAUUUAGCGAGUGGUGCUUUCCACACGCCAAACACAUAUAAUUUCUAUGCACGUUGAAUUUUCUUAAAGUUCAAUAAAUUUUUUUCUUGUUUAAGACUCAAACAUUUCCGGGAUAACUUUUUUCGGCCAGAUUUGUAAAGCUUGGCCGGAGCUCCUUCUUCCAUUGUAGCAAUGGUUUUAAAUUUUAAACUUUUGGCAUUUCAUUUUAAAUUAGGUUAAUUUCUUUUGUUUAAACUCUUGCAAUUUAUGGAAUUUAUUUUUUUCCUUGCCAAAUGUGUAACAAGUUUGGCCAGAAUGUCAAUUUUUUUCGCGCUCAUAUCCAAAUUCUUCCUCACUUUCCCGAGAAAAUAAGUUGGAAGGGAAAAAGAAAAGGAAAAGGAAAAGGAGACAUGGUAAAAACGAGAAUCGGGUGAUGGUGGAAAAGCUGCCAUGGUUGAAACUACCAGAAGUUACAUGGGCUAACAUAUUACACAGGCUGGGUGUUAUAUAAAUACUGGAGACCACAGAGAAAGUGUGCAUACUUGGGGUAAGUGUGCAAGGAUCUUCCCAUGUAGCUAGUCAUUGACAUGUGGAACCUCUCUGACACGCCUUAAGACUUGGAGGAAAUCUGCCGCCAUGUCGUUGAUAGCAGCCAAGUCCUUUGUUAUGGACAAGUUGAUUGCGUACCUAGCAGAGAGGGUUAGCACGGAUGUCCUGGUUGGCCACGGGCAAAAUAGUACUGUGAAAAAAGGUGGAAAGAACUUCCAUCGGUGAGUGAAAUAUAACAUGAAACCGUUAGCUUUCAAGCAGUGGUAGGGAGGUUCCAAGUCUCUGAUCGUCUGCCUGUUGAAAGAUUGAGUGUAUUAAAGGGAGAUAAGUCUGUGUUUUUCUUUUAAUGUUGAUAUUCCGCCUGAAAUAAGCUUAAUUGAGCAUCGAUUAUGCUGCUCUUGGAGCUGCUGAUGUCUGGUUGUUGUGUUAUCAUCUUUUCAGUAUACUCUGGAAUAUGUAAUAUGUAUUCACCUGCUGCCCAUGGCUACAACAGUCGUUUAGUUGUAAAGCACUUUGUAUUCCUAUGGUGCUUCGCCAUAGGCAAGAGUCUAAACAUUGUCUGAAAGUUGUUUAUAGUGUAAAUAUUAAUCGGACCUUUAGUAGGAUAAAUGAAAGAAGAUAAAUGAUUAGUCUAUGAGAUAGCUAGCAACCAACCGCUACCUCCCAUCAAAGAAUCAUUGUUCUCUGGAAGUUCCUAUGCUGGAGAUUGCUCUAAAAAAGAGUUGGAAGAUGUAUAUUAGGCCUCUCUAUUCUCUUUCUGAGUUCCUUAUUGUGGCAUUUUUUUUUUUACUCUUUUUGUUUGUGUUGCCUCUAAAGUUCCGUUCCCUGGCGUCCCGUCCCUUCCUCCACUCCCUACAGCAGAAAGUAAGAUAAUAGAACACCAAAAAGAUAGUACUUUUUUGCUAUAACUGUCAGCAGAGAUUGCUUAUUGUCUUAUCUCUUUUUAUGUUUAUGAUUGAUAAAGUAAGGUAGCAAAUUGUUUUAUCCUAUGGUAUACUUGCACUAAUCUUCUGUAUUAGGCAAUCCAGUAAUUGUGCUUCAGUCUACCAUUAAUUCAUUUCUGCUUUUUUUUCACAAGAUUAGGAAAAUUGAAAUGACUCAGUAUUGCAUUUUGCAACGAAAUGGUACGUGAAGGCUUGAUUGAAGUAGUUCAAAAGUUCCCAUUGUUAGAAGAGUUGAGUCUGAGACACAGUAUCACAACAGAAGGUGUUGGAUCUGUUGGACGCUCCUGCACACAACUGAAGUCUUCUGAAUUAAAUAACUCAAGUUAUAACAUAGAUGAGAAACGUGCCCUCUCUUCUCUGCUCCAUCUGCAAUAUUGAAGCGUCUGGACACGUUGAAAAAAGAUUUCUUAUGGAGUGGCAACAAACAAAAUAAUUCCAUCUGUCUUAGCUAGAUGGAACAAUGUCACAAGAAAGUGGAGUCGGGUCUUGGAAUUAAGAAUUGAAGCGCCAUAAUGAAAGCCUAUUGCUGAAAUGGCACUGGAGAUUCAACCAGGAAGAAAAUGCUUUUUUGGAGGAGAUUACUGGUCGAAAAGUUUACUUUGGAAAAUCCAUGGUUCAGCGAUGGUUCUAAUGCCCCACAUGGUAGAGGAAUAUGGAAGCAUAUCCGUCUCUUGGAUGUAAAUUCUCUGAAAAUUCUGAUUUUCUCCUCGGUAAUGGUAGAAAAAUCAGAUUUUGGGAGGAUGCAUGGUUGGUUCCCGAAUAAUCUGCAGCAUCUCCUCCCUUCACAAUGCAGUGAUCGCUGAUUUUUCACUGCUCAAGGUUGGAAUCUCUCUUAGAAGGAAUUUGAAUGGUUGGGAAGUGCCUAGGACUUGUGAUUUGUUAUUUAUGCGAAACAUCUCCUUAGACCAUCCAGAAAUGGAGUUCAGAACACGACGAGGACAUCCAAACAAUCCUUUUUCAGUGAAAUCAUGCUACAAAAUGCCGUCUUUUACUGACAACAUUAGUCCUUGACCUUGGAAGAAAAUCUGGUACAAUAAUGCUAUAUUUGGCAUUAGCUGGACUAUGCCUUGUCUCCACUCAAGAUUUUCUUAUGUUCUGAACAGGGUCGGAUUACCAAAAAAGUCCCUCAAAAUUUGGAGUACUAUAUCCGAAGCCUUAUGGUGGGCUGUCUGGUUCAUAGGGAGGAAGAUAAUUUUUGAAGUUUUUGUGCAGGAUAGAGAUGCCUUGUUAGAUAUAACGGGUGGAUUGCACAACUUCAACUAUGUUUUGAAGCACUACCUUAGUGCUUGUUCUCUUUAAUAAAAUAUCUUAUUACUACCCAAAAAAUAGAUGCGGCUUUAGCUAUUUCACCAACUUCGGCUCAUUGCUCACUGGGGGGACACUAUGACCGAUGAAGGUCUUCAAGCUAUUCUUGAUUGUUGUCCUCAUCUUGUAUCUCUUGACAUGCUUUUAUGCUUCAAUCCUAGCAUUUACUUAAGAGUUUUAGGAUUUACUCGUCUGUUUGGCCAAAUUCUUAAAUACUGCAUAUUUUAAGAAGCACUUUUAUCAGAAUAGUUUUUCAUAGAAGUACUUUGGAGAGAAGCACUUUGUAUUUGAAAAAUUCAUUUAGAAAGCGCUUUUCUAUUUAGUAUUUGAUAAAAAUAUGCCAAUCUUUUCAUGAA